AGAGUUUGAUCCUGGCUCAGAAUAAACGCUGGCGGCGUGCCUGACACAUGCAAGUCGAGCGUGAAAGGUCUUCGGACUAAGUAAAGCGGCAAACGGGUGAGUAACGCGUGAGAAUCUACCUUUCAGUGAGGAAUACCUUCGAGAAAUUGAAGUUAAUACUGCAUACGUCCUAAUAGGAGAAAGAUGGCCUCUUUGCUGUCGCUGAAAGAUGAGCUUGCGUACGAUUAGCUAGUUGGUAGGGUAAAGGCCUACCAAGGCGAAGAUCGUUAGCCGGCCUGAGAGGGUGUACGGCCACACUGGAACUUAGACACGGUCCAGACUCCUACGGGAGGCAGCAGUGAGGAAUCUUGCGCAAUGGGCGAAAGCCUGACGCAGCGACGCCGCGUGGAGGAUGAAGGUCUUAGGAUUGUAAACUUCUGUUAAGUGGGAAGAAAUGUUUCGUUAUAAUACAGCGAGAAAAUGACGGUACCAUUAGAGAAAGCACCGGCUAACUUCGUGCCAGCAGCCGCGGUAAUACGAAGGGUGCGAGCGUUAUUCGGAUUGAUUGGGCGUAAAGGGUGCGCAGGCGGAAUGCUAAGUCAACUGUUAAAUUUCCCGGCCUAACCGGGAGUCAGCAGUAGAUACUGGUGUUCUUGAGGAUGGAAGAGAGAAGUGGAAUUCUCGGAGUAGCGGUAAAAUGCGUGGAUCUCGAGAGGAACACCGAUGGCGAAGGCAGCUUCUUGGUCCAUUUCUGACGCUCAUGCACGAAAGCGUGGGGGAGCAAAACAGGAUUAGAUACCCUGGUAGUCCACGCUGUAAACGAUGAUUACUGGACGUUAACUCCGUUAUGCGGAGCUAGUGUCGUAGCUAACGCGAUAAGUAUCCGCCUGAGUAGUACGGUCGCAAGAUUAAACCCAAAGGAAUUGACGGGGGUUCGCCAAGCGUUG
rnacentral:rRNA from 1 species